AAGGACAAGACAAUUCCCUUUCAGUAAUGGAACAAUGACAGGCUCAGCAUGAUGUCAUUUGAAAGUCUUUUGUGAGAUUGUGGUCAUUUGUGCUUUCUGGAUUGGAUAAUGGCAGGAUCAUUACGACGUCAUCUGAAAGUCCUUCCCCCAAUUGCGCAGGAAGGAUGAGACAAAAACCAGGAAAAAAUAGGAGAAGGACGUCCUGUCUGAUAAUCUCCACAGACACACACUUAACAGGUAUAGAAUUUGGUUCUGUGCAUAUCUAAGCAUUAUUAAAAAUGAAGUGCACAAGCUAGAAAAAACUUGGGUGAAAUGUAACAUUGCAUGAACAGAUGGCAGCUUACACAAUGGUCCUUUUUUUACUUCCACAUGCAGUCUAUUUAGAUUGUCAGGGACAGCAGAGAGGAAUGUACUAGAUUGUGAGAGGUCUUUUACUGGAUUGUAAUGUGAGAGUUGAAUUGCUGAAACCAGUAAGAGAAGCACCACAGCUUGCUUCUGCCUGAAUGCAGGUGAAUUCCUCUCUGCCAAACAACAGUGUUCUGUAGUUUGCUUCUAAAUUCUUAUUUUUGACGUUUUGCUGGGGAGACAUUACAAGAGGUUGCAGACUGGAGGAAGAGAAAGAACAGUUCUGUUGAAUGAGAUUUCUCCCCUCAUGCAAUGAUGGAUUUCACCCAUUGGGCUCAAAUAGCUAUUGACAAAACAGAAUUUUGUCUAUUCCAGUCUUUCAGCAUAUUUUACAUUGCAAGAACGUCGCUGGAAGACAGAGAGAUCCUAACCAUGGAGAGCAAUGAUGGCAUGCGAAGGGAUAAGAAACCUUCAGCAACAAUGGAGCAUUAAGGGAGAAUUUAUCAGCUUGCAUCAGGAAGAAUUGUUGCUGUGGAUAAAAGCAAACACAAAACAAGAUGCUGUUUUUGGGGGUUCAUUGCCUAUAACAUCAAGUGUCAAGUUGUCUACUCUUCGACCUGUUGUGAAUUAUCCUCAUUAUGAAGACACAGUUUUACAAUAAGCCUUUUAAUUUAUCAUUUAGUAUUACCAAUUUUGCAGUGUACUUACACAUUGGGUAGGAUUUAAGUACAGUUAACCCACUUAGGGAGUCACAGAUCUACACUGUCCAUUUUGUUUCUGGUUUAUACCUACAGCAUAAGACCCUUAUAGGUAUGGGCCAGACCUAUGGGCCAGGAUAUCUGAAGGACAGCCUAAUAAUAUACAGUGGGUCCUUCCCUUAUGCAGGGGAUCUAUUCCAAAUUUCGUGUAUACUUGUGUGCUCGAGGCGCGUGCUCCAUCUCUUUAACUGUCACGUGGCUUCAAUGUAUGCUUGAAGCCACAUAUGGUGCACUCACAUAUAGCAUGUGUACACUGUUUAAGAAUAUUUGCAAUCUUGGAACGCUCUCCCUGAAGAGCUCCACUCAGCCCCCUCCCUGGAGUCGUUCAAGAAGAAUCUGAAGACUCAUUUAUUCCGCCAAGCUUUCUCCCACAUGUCCUGACUGUUUCCCCCAUGUACUGUGUGUAGUAUUGUUGUAUUGUAUCGCAUUGGAUUUUUAACUUUUUAGUAAUUUUGAUUGAUUCUAUGGUUUUAAUUGGGGUGUUUUA